ACGGGCUGCGCGACGGCCUUGGUGGAGACUGUGUUCGCGGCAUGGUCAGGUAUUGUGCCCCGGACCUGUCGUCAUCUGCCGCCAUCGAGGGCCCCAGAUGGAGUCCUACGGUUCUGGGCCAAGAGAUGGGAGUUGUGGACAGCGGGCCUGUGUCUGCAGGCCAGAGGGCUGACGGCCGGAGAGACGCGCGGGUGAGUGAGCCCCUCUGCCUGAACCGUCCCUGGCUAGGCGCCCCUUCUGCGGGCUUAUCGGGAUCCGGGGGCCAGCACCGCGGGCAGCAAGCCUCCAGCGUGCUGGGGCCUGUCGUGGCCCCAUGUAUUCCUGCAGUGCUUGCCAGAGCAAUUCGGAACGGUUUGAGGCCUCGCUCUGCUCCAUCCAGAGCGAGGUUAUAGAACUUUCGGACAGUCGCCUGCCCUGCUCCCUUGCUGGGUGUGCUGUCGGAUGUGGCACACAGUUAAAACCAAGUUCUCAUUCACAGCGGCCACGUGUCGGGGUCUGGGUGGCCACGCCUUGGACGAUAGCUGUGUGCAAGGGUCCAGAAAGCCACAGGUUCCUUUGUUGGCUGUGAGCGGCGUCUCUGACAUCCACGUGGAUCUGCUGUAGGUCACCACCCCAGCACAUGGCACGAAACUCUGUGCCAUUCCUGAGGGUCCAGCUCCAUGGAGCCUGCGCACGGCCUCCAGGGUGCGUGCGGCCACACAGUCCAGAGCGCAGAUGCCGAGGCCAAGACCUCCUCGUGGCAACACACCUGGCAUGGUGUUUAUCCAAGGCGUUGUCACACCCAAAGGUGAUGCCAUGUCCAGGUCCUCGUGUAGGUGAAAGAACAAGAAGAUUUCAUGUUUAAUAAAAGUGGUGUUGAAAGUCGGUUCAGUCUGACCUGU